AUUGAACGCUGGCGGCAUGCCUUACACAUGCAAAUCGAACGGUAACGGGCCUUCGGGUGCCGACGAGUGGCGCACGGGUGGGUAAUACAUCGGAACGUGCCCGAUCGUGGGGGAUAACGAGGCGAAAGCUUUGCUAAUACCGCAUACGAUCUACGGAUGAAAGCAGGGGACCGCAAGGCCUUGCGCGGACGGAGCGGCCGAUGGCAGAUUAGGUAGUUGGUGGGAUAAAAGCUUACCAAGCCGACGAUCUGUAGCUGGUCUGAGAGGAUGAUCAGCCACACUGGGACUGAGACACGGCCCAGACUCCUACGGGAGGCAGCAGUGGGGAAUUUUGGACAAUGGGCGCAAGCCUGAUCCAGCCAUGCCGCGUGCAGGAUGAAGGCCUUCGGGUUGUAAACUGAUUUUGUACGGAACGAAAAGCCUUCUUUUAAUACAGGAGGGUCAUGACGGUACCGUAAGAAUAAGCACCGGCUAACUACGUG
rnacentral:rRNA from 1 species